UAAAUUAAUUAUUUUAUAAUAUGUCACAUGUCAUUUACAGAAUAUUGUACCCCCUAACAAGGUGAUCUAUAUGAUAACUGAAAAAUGAAAACAAUCGAUCGAAAAUUUAUCACUACAAGAGAAUCGUUGAUUGGGAGGGGUUCCCUCGUCAGAUAGCAACGGUUAAUUAUCCUGUCAAUAUAUUACAAAGAAUGUAACCUAAUUGAUAAUCAUACAUGAUGGUACUAGUAUUCCAUCAAAAUAUAGUAUAUAUUUCCUUGACUUUGCCGCCUCCAUCCACUGACGAAACCAGGUCUCGGACCAUCCUGGUUUCGUUAUUGUUGUCUUUCUUACCGCUACCGUUGCAGAAGUGGUUGAGGGCGGUGGCGGCGGACUCCACAAUGGCAUCGAACACCAUCUUCUUCACCAACUUCCUUUUUGCCGGAAUUAUGCCUCCUCUCUUCGUAUCGUCUCCGGCGAACUUCUUCACUAGUAUAACUCCAUGAUCUUGAUGAAUUUGGCUAAUUAGUGUCAUCUCUAGACUUUUUGGUGGGUUUUCUCCGAGUUUUGAAGAUGGAGAAGGAAAUUAUAAGGAAUGAAAGUUAUGGUG
rnacentral:lncRNA from 1 species